CGAGCACGUAGGUGGGUUUGUAAGUCAGAUGUGAAAGCCUUCUGUUCAACGGAAGAAUUGCAUCUGAAACUGCUAAUCUUGAGUAUAGGAGGGGAGAAUGGAACUUCUGGUGGAGCGGUGAAAUGCGUAGAUAUCAGAAGGAACGCCGGCGGCGAAAGCGAUUCUCUGGCCUAUUACUGACACUCAGUGUGCGAAAGCUAGGGGAGCAAACGGGAUUAGAUACCCCGGAGCAGGCUGUU
rnacentral:rRNA from 1 species